rnacentral:lncRNA from 1 species
CUUUAAUUAAGAUCCGUUCCUCAGCAUAGAUGUGUGUUAAAACAAGUUGCUGUACACCUAGUGUUCAUUCUCUUAAUUGGAGUGUGAGCCUUUUUGUGGGGUAGAAAGAAGCCUUCAACCCAGCAAGCUCAUAGAUCCAAACAUUGAAGAAAAGCUGAAGACAAAAACAACAAGCAUGAAAAUGUUAUUUUACGUCACUCUCGAUCCUUUUCCCUAAAAGGCUUAUGCAGUGACUCAGUUUGGAAAGCUUUUUGGCUUCCAGCCCUUGAAUGUGAAGUGUCGUUGGCAUGUCUGGCAGUAGUCUCAUUCACUCCUCAAUAAACAACGUUGAAAUACGAAAGAAGUUUGUGUAAAAAUUUAGUACUGUCUGGCUUUGAUUCAUUUAAUAAAAAAAGAAUUUGGCUUAGUAUUUUUAUUGCAAAUUGUAAUUGCUAUGGAGCCACACACAACUUUUAAACUUUUAAUUUUAUGAUAAGUAUUAUG